GGUAUCCACUCAAACUCGGACUAGAAUGCUCUCUCCAUCUUUGAUUCGUCUACUCCUAGAUGAAUCUACAAGCUUCUGGAUUAGCCUUGGAUCUGAUCUCCGACAGGGUUCUGAUCAGUGCUAGAUCGCAGUCUUCUUGUUUCUUCAUGUAGAUCAGAUGGAACUCGACGAUUCGAGACCACCAGAUGAAACAUCCAACACCCUUGGCAUGGGAGAAGAUC
rnacentral:lncRNA from 1 species